AGACUCAAUCCCUCUGGUUUCCGAGGAGAUUGGACUUGGGUGUUGCCGCUUCUGCCGGCUCACCUUAAAGGACUUAGCGGGAUAGCACCGUAGUCGGCGUAAUAAGUUUCGUCGGUGAAGGUUGUGAUGACUGCUUACGAUCGCCCUCGGGCAACUUUUGACU
rnacentral:misc_RNA from 1 species